rnacentral:rRNA from 1 species
UGGGGAAUAUUGGACAAUGGGCGCAAGCCUGAUCCAGCAAUGCCGCGUGUGUGAAGAAGGCCUUCGGGUUGUAAAGCACUUUUAUCAGGAGCGAAACGCUGUCGGCUAAUACCCGGCGGAACUGACGGUACCUGAGGAAUAAGCACCGGCUAACUUCGUGCCAGCAGCCGCGGUAAUACGAAGGGUGCAAGCGUUAAUCGGAAUUACUGGGCGUAAAGCGUGCGUAGGCGGUUUCUUAAGUCUGCUGUGAAAUCCCCGGGCUCAACCUGGGAAUGGCAGUGGAUACUGGGAGGCUAGAGUGUGUCAGAGGGUGGUGGAAUUCCCGGUGUAGCGGUGAAAUGCGUAGAGAUCGGGAGGAACAUCAGUGGCGAAGGCGGCCACCUGGGACAACACUGACGCUGAGGCACGAAAGCGUGGGGAGCAAACAGGAUUAGAUACCCUGGUAGUCCACGCCCUAAACGAUGCGAACUGGAUGUUGGUCUCAACUCGGAGAUCAGUGUCGAAGCUAACGCGUUAAGUUCGCCNCCUGGGGAGUACGGUCGCAAGACUGAAACUCAAAGGAAUUGACGGGGUCAUAGCUGUUUCCUG